UGUAAANCANAUACGCNUGUCUNAAANUUUAACCCANGCAAGUNUAAGUUUAAGCACAUACGCGGCGAAUCUGCGAAUGGCUCAUUAAAUCAGUUAUCGUAUAUUUGAUAGUACCUACUACAUGGAUAACCGUGGUAAUUCUAGAGCUAAUACAUGCUAAAAAUCCCGACUUCGGAAGGAAUGUAUUUAUUAGAUUAAAAACCAAUGCCCUUCGGGGCUCACUGGUGAUUCAUAAUAACUUCUCGAAUCGCAUGGCCUUGUGCCGGCGAUGGUUCAUUCAAAUUUCUGCCCUAUCAACUUUCGACGGCUGGGUAUUGGCCAGCCGUGGUUACAACGGGUAACGAAGGGUUAGGGCUUGACCCCGGAGAAGGAGCCUGAGAAACGGCUACUACAUCCAAGGAAGGCAGCAGGCGCGCAAAUUACCCAAUCCCGAUACGGGGAGGUAGUGACAAUAAAUACUGAUACAGGGCUCUUUUGGGUCUUGUAAUUGGAAUGAGUACAAUUUAAAUCCCUUAACGAGGAACAAUGGAGGNNNNNNNNNNNNNNNNNNNNNNNNGGUAAUUCAGCUCCAAUAGCGUAUAUUAAAGUUGUUGCAGUUAAAAAGCUCGUAGUUGAACCUUGGGCCUGGUUGGCCGGUCUGCCUCACCGCAUGCACUGGUCCGACCGGGUCUUUCCCUCUGUGGAUCCGCAUGCUAUUCAUUUAGUGUGUCGGGGAAACAGGACAUUUACUGUGAAAAAAUUAGAGUGUUCAAAGCAGGCAUAUGCUCGAAUACAUUAGCAUGGAAUAAUAGAAUAGGACGUGUGGUUCUAUUUUGUUGGUUUCUAGGACCGCCGUAAUGAUUAAUAGGGACAGUCGGGGGCAUCAGUAUUCAAUCGUCAGAGGUGAAAUUCUUGGAUCGAUUGAAGACUAACUACUGCGAAAGCAUUUGCCAAGGAUGUUUUCAUUAAUCAGGAACGAAAGUUAGGGGAUCGAAAACGAUCAGAUACCGUUGUAGUCUUAACCAUAAACUAUGCCGACUAGGGAUCGGACGAUGUUAUUUUUUGACUCGUUCGGCACCUUACACGAAAGUAAAGUUUUUGGGUUCU
rnacentral:rRNA from 1 species